rnacentral:lncRNA from 1 species
AAAAAAGUGAAUAACUGCCAAAAAAUGAGAUGUCUGAAAAUGGAUUUAAGACUUCUGUACUUCAGAAUGAAAACUACUCGACAAUUAUGACUGGAUUUUUUUUUUGUCUCAAGACUUUAGUACAGUGCCUGGAAUACAAUAGUCAAGGCAGAGCAGAACUACACUCAAGCCUUAUCUAAUUGGAAUCCCACAGGAUUAUGGUAAGAUUCAGAUGAGAUAUAUCUAAUUUAAAACAUAUUUGAAAAAAGAAAUUGUUUUUGCUUAGUCCCU